UGCAGUCGAGGGGUAUGUGAUCUUCGGAACCAGAGACCGGCGCACGGGUGCGUAACGCGUAUGCAAUCUACCUUUUACAGAGGGAUAGCCCAGAGAAAUUUGGAUUAAUACCUCAUAGUAUAACAUGACCGCAUGGUCGAGUUAUUAAAGUCACAACGGUAAAAGAUGAGCAUGCGUCCCAUUAGCUAGUUGGUAAGGUAACGGCUUACCAAGGCUACGAUGGGUAGGGGUCCUGAGAGGGAGAUCCCCCACACUGGUACUGAGACACGGACCAGACUCCUACGGGAGGCAGCAGUGAGGAAUAUUGGACAAUGGGCGCAAGCCUGAUCCAGCCAUGCCGCGUGCAGGAUGACGGUCCUAUGGAUUGUAAACUGCUUUUAUACGAGAAGAAACACUGCUUCGUGAAGCAGCUUGACGGUAUCGUAAGAAUAAGGAUCGGCUAACUCCGUGCCAGCAGCCGCGGUAAUACGGAGGAUCCAAGCGUUAUCCGGAAUCAUUGGGUUUAAAGGGUCCGUAGGCGGUUUGGUAAGUCAGUGGUGAAAGCCCAUCGCUCAACGGUGGAACGGCCAUUGAUACUGCCAGACUUGAAUUAUUAGGAAGUAACUAGAAUAUGUAGUGUAGCGGUGAAAUGCUUAGAGAUUACAUGGAAUACCAAUUUGCGAAAGGCAGGUUACUACUAAAUGAUUGACGCUUAUGGACGAAAAGCGUGGGUAGCGAACAAGGAUUAGAUACCCCUGGGUAGUCCCACGCCCGUAAACCGAUGGAUAACUAAGCUGGUUGGAAGCAAUUUU
rnacentral:rRNA from 1 species